rnacentral:rRNA from 1 species
ACAAGUCGGAGGAAGUGGGGAUGACGUCAAAUCAUCAUGCCCCUUAUGACCUGGGCGUACACACGUGCUACAAUGGGCGGUACAAAGGGCUGCGAACCCGCGAGGGGGAGCGAAUCCCAAAAAGCCGCUCUCAGUUCGGAUUGCAGGCUGCAACUCGCCUGCAUGAAGCCGGAAUCGCUAGUAAUCGCGGAUCAGCAUGCCGCGGUGAAUACGUUCCCGGGCCUU